CAAGCAACGUGAGGCACACUGCGAAGAUAACAAGCACCGCCGAGAGCUUCAGUCCAAGUGGUGGCACGUUUGCUUUCUUCUCACAGCUGAUAGACAAGGACUGCGCUGCAGCAACACCUCCGUCACUUUCUGACCCUCUUCAGAAGCUUUUAUUCAUGUGCUUGAGUCUGCAAAAUCUAACGCUUUUUUUGCUUCCUUUUUCUGAAAAAAACUUCAAGGGAAGCCUGAUUUUCCUGGAUGGACUGCCCGUUACUUUCACUCGUCACGCGUGAUACAUCAGUGCAGGCUGCCUUGAACUCACUACACCCAAGCUGGCCUCCGACUCUGAGCGACCUCCUUGCCCGGCGUCCCAGACUCUGGGAUUACAGGAGUUGCCCAGACUGCAGAGAAACACUGGUACCAGCUCCACAAGCUUCCCUGGCUUCCUUUUUUUCUCCGUCCUCCUAAAGAUAUUCUGCCCUGUUAUCAGCCAAGAAACAUUCACAGUAAGUAAAACUCCC